rnacentral:rRNA from 1 species
ACGCUCGACACCUACGGGAAGCAGCAGUGAGGAAUAUUGGUCAAUGGGCGCUAGCCUGAACCAGCCAAGUAGCGUGAAGGAUGAAGGCUCUAUGGGUCGUAAACUUCUUUUAUAUAAGAAUAAAGUGCAGUAUGUAUACUGUUUUGUAUGUAUUAUAUGAAUAAGGAUCGGCUAACUCCGUGCCAGCAGCCGGGUAAUCUGAGCGGGCUGGCAAGGC